CACCCACGUCGACGAAUGGGUCUGAAAGCUCGAUCAUUUUUGCAACCUCUCUCUCCUCCUCUCUCGGUUUCUUCCGCGGGGUCUUUGUCUCCCUUCUCGGCUGGAGAAAGAAAGAAUGGCGGGCGGGGAAGGAGGGGAGACAGCGGCGAGCGUGGUCCCGAGAGCCGCCAUGGAUUCCCUGAGAGAAACCCUAGCCUCCACGGAGGAGCUGAGCGCCAAUCUCCUCCAGUUCCUCUCCAUGGCCGAACCCGACGUCCUCGCUGAGCUGCCCCCUCUUCACCGCGCCCGUGCCUUCCUCCUUCUCGCCAAGGCCGCCUCCACCCUCUUCGCGGUGCGGUUGAGAUGCAGCGGAAUUCACCCCGAUGAUCACCCCGUCAGUAAAGAAUUUGACAGAUUGAGCUUGUACGAAGAGAAAUUAGAGCGGUUUGAUGACUGGAGCAAAGCACCAUUGCGGCCUUCGACUAAGUUGAAUUAUCAGGCGGCAACCCGUUUCAUUGGGCAUUCAUUACCGGAUUUGACUCCAGAACAGAGAAAAAGUCUGCAGGACAUUAGUCGAGGGGAUGGUGUCGGGAGUAGGGCUUCCGAGAAGCAUAGGGCAAAGAAGAAGAGGAAAUAUCAGUCACCUGAAAAACCAUCUGCACGUGCUGCUGCUCAAGAAUUUCUCGAGAAAGCAGCACGUGAGCUUCUCAGCUCUAGUGAUUGUGGGGUGAAGGGACCUCUGCAGAACAUCUCAGAUGAAGAUGAUGAAUAGAUAUUGCUCCGACAUGACUUGCCUUUUCAGCGGUUGCGUGUUCUUUAAAGGUUGUUGCUGCUUAACCCACUGACAAUAGGAACUGGUCAGCUACCUGAAAGAUUUCAUCCACAAUCAGGCAACAAAGGGCACCUCAUGAUAGCAUUUUCUGUUUACAGGUCUCAACUUCUUUGUCGAAUUUUAUUUUGUCCAUAUGCCAGACGAAGCCAUCAAUUCUAAUGUUAUAUUCUGGCUAAAGAUUUCAGCACACAGAAUUUGCUAGACUUUUGUUGUACAGAUAACUCAUGAAUCUGUGUUCAACUACAGAUAAAAGAACUCCUCUGGUUCUAUUUGGUUGUCAGGAACUUGAAGGAUAUGUUUUCUUUCAUUUGGAAGUUUUAAAUGCUGGAUUAUUAUCAUUGUCAA